UACAGAGGGUGCGAGCGUUAAUCGGAAUUACUGGGCGUAAAGCGCGCGUAGGCGGCUUUGUAAGUUAGAGGUGAAAGCCCGGAGCUCAACUCCGGAACUGCCUUUAAGACUGCAUCGCUAGAAUUGUGGAGAGGUGAGUGGAAUUCCGAGUGUAGAGGUGAAAUUCGUAGAUAUUCGGAAGAACACCAGUGGCGAAGGCGACUCACUGGACAUGUAUUGACGCUGAGGUGGCGAAAGCGUGGGGAGCAAACAGG
rnacentral:rRNA from 1 species